ensembl:lncRNA
GUUGGAAUGAGCCAGAUGGUAUGAUAGCAGUCAUCGUCAACAGAACCGUCCUUAUUGUCUGCGUGUGGACGUGCUUCGCCUCUGCAUGACCUUGUGAACUUUUCUGACGCGUGACCUCGAAAAAUCCCUGCCACGGCUCCCCGAGCUCCCCUCCACAUCCCCGGGCUUCUCUGCACAGGCUGUUACCCAGGCAGGAAGUGACAUCAACGGGUCCAAACUAAAAAAUAUGUCGCAGGACGGACUGUCUAGGAUGUGCAGGACCCGGUGUUUGUAAGGGAGGACGCCUCGCAGCGGCUCCAUAAAGUGAUGCUCACUGAAGGAUGCAGGAGAGCGCCGCACAGGCGAGACAGACAGACGCACGGGAGGCUGAGCUCUCUAUCAUGGCGUUCUGCUUAAAGGGGUGCUGUCUGCUAUCCAGCUACAGCUGAGAAACAUCUUCAUAAAAGGAGUUUGAAUGGGCAGAGUCUGGUUUGGCACUUCCUGGAUUUAAAACCACAUGGUCAAGUGUAGCAGAGAAGAGAGCAGGUUAUUCUUGGUGAACUGGUGAGUUGAAUCCUACCUGAUUGAAUGCUUGCAUUUCUUGCCCAGUCAGACUAUGUUGUUGUAAUUUCCCUUUUUUCAAAGUCUAAAAACAGCAAAAA